rnacentral:rRNA from 1 species
UACGAAGGGUGCAAGCGUUGCUCGGAAUCACUGGGCGUAAAGCGCACGUAGGCGGACUCUUAAGUCGGUGGUGAAAUCCUGGAGCUCAACUCCAGAACUGCCUUCGAUACUGGGAGUCUCGAGUUCGGGAGAGGUGAGUGGAACUGCGAGUGUAGAGGUGAAAUUCGUAGAUAUUCGCAAGAACACCAGUGGCGAAGGCGGCUCACUGGCCCGAUACUGACGCUGAGACGCGAAAGCCAGGGGAGCGAACGGG